GUGUAAGCGAAGCGUAACGUGGAGCGGUGAAAGGCUCAGUAACGGGCGAGUUAUUUGUUCUCCUGGGACGGACAACACCGGGAAACUGGUGGGAAAACGUCUAAGUUGCGGUUUUUUAAUCGUGGCGUAAACCAUUUGGUGCAGGAGAGUAAGCUGCCAUCCUAUCAGUUAGUAAGUAGGGUAAGGGCCUACUUAGACGA
rnacentral:rRNA from 1 species